UAGGAUCUCAAUUGGCGCAAUGUUGUCACUGUGAGUUCACUUUCAAAGCAAAAAUUAAUUUGAAGCAUGGAUAUAACAGAAUCUCCUUACUCGGUGCAACUGUAGGAUUUGCGGGUUAUGGAUUCUCUGGACCCAUCAAAUUGAUAGCAACAUACAAAAAUAGCAGUGAACCAGAAGCGGUCAAGGAUAUCUCAACGAGUAAGUGGGUAUUUAAGACAGGAUUACACGGUGAAGAUGCAGGAUAUCACCAAUCUCAACCAAAGCACCUUCAUCAAUGGUCUAACUUAGAUCGUCCAAUUAAUCGACCCUUCACUUGACAAAUUUCAUUACUCCAGGAGGAACAGAUCCUGUAGCGGUGGACUUAAAUGGAAUGGGGAAAGGAGUUGCUUGGAUUAAUGGCAUUAAUAUAGAGAGGUAUUGGCCUCAAUAUCUUGCCAGUCAAGAAGGCUGUGACAAUUGUCUGUGACUACAAAGGAAGCUACAAGCCCAGGGAGAAAUGCAAUACGGGGUGUGGAGAGCCGACGCAAAGACAUUAUCAUCCUCCUAGAGAUUGGCUAAGGCCAGAAAAUAAUGUGUUAGUAUUGUUUGAAGAAUUAGGAGGGAACGCAGAAAAUAUUCAAAUCCAGAGUGUUACUAUUGGUAAAAUCUGCGCACAUGCUGAUGAAGGACAGACAUUGGAAAUAAGUUGCCAAGGUGGACAUAGAAUCAAAGAAAUCACAUUUGCUAGUUUUGGUGAUGUUAAUGGCAGAUGUGGAUCUUUCAGUCAAGGCAACUUUUAUUCUGAAAAUGCUUUGUCAAUUGUCCAGAAGGCUUGUCUUAAGCAGAAGUAAGUGUUUUAUUAAUGUGUCUGAAGAGACCUUUGGGCCUUUACAUUGUACAAGGAUAUGUACUUAUAGGCUAGUUGUUGAGGCUGUUUGUUAGUUUUGUUUAAGACAUAUUUUGAAU